rnacentral:rRNA from 1 species
UACGGAGGUUGCAAGCGUUAUCCGGAUUCACUGGGUUUAAAGGGUGCGUAGGCGGGUUGGUAAGUCAGUGGUUAAAGCCUUCAGCUUAACUGAAGAAAUGCCAUUGAUACUGCCAGCCUAGAGUGAGGUUGAGGUGGCUGGAAUGUGUCAUGUAGCGGUGAAAUGCGUAGAUAUGACACAGAACACCGAUGGAGAAGGCAGGUCACCAAGCCAUCAAUGACUCUGAGGCACGAAAGUGUGGGGAGCAAACAGG